CAUCGUUCCUAGUCGGAUUCGUUAACCACUGCACCAUGACGGGAACUCCACAUUAGAGAGUUUUUAAUCAGAGAUAAAAUGAUCAGUUGUUUGCGAGACCCCCUUUCAGAAUUCAGUCAGGAGACCAAAUUACAGAUCUGAGGAUUGCUUGAUGAGCAGAAAAUAGGAACAAAGGAAAUGUUCCCAACCAAGUAGGUUUAGCAGGAAGAUCUGUUCCUCCUCCUCUGUCUGUCCCCCUCUGGACAGGGGAUAUUCUGUCCAGAGAACUGAUCCAGUCCUGCCUGACCCCUGCCAGUUGUCAAGAGCAGCCUUCUUUCGGAUAACCCCAAGGCCCAAGGCGCAUUCUGCUCCCAGGCUUAGUGCUUAUUUCACAUCCACUUCUGGUUAGAUUGACCUUUUCCCAAUGAGCUUGCAGGCACCAUUCAUUAACAGCACACUCAGAUUUUGUUUCUUUGGGCAGGUUGCCAUAGGAACAACCAGAGAGGAAGAGCUCCUUUCCUCUCACUUAGGAUGAACCCUGUUUGUGGCCAGCAGCUCCCAGGGCACUGGUGACCACCCUAUGGAUUAGCAAUAAAAAUAACAACAACAACAAAAAAGUCUGAUUCAUUGAGAAGCAGCCUGGGGAUUGAAAAACUUGACAUGUGAAAUAGGAACACUUAGAUGUUAUUUCUUCUCUCCCAUUUACUGUUUGUUUGACUUUGGGUGAACGAUGACAUUUAUCUGAGCUUGACUUUUCUUGUAUAAAGCGUAAUUAAUGGGGCUGUCCUCACACGGUUGCUGAGGAGACUGGAUGAGUUAACGAUUUGGAAAAUGUAAACUGGUGCUUUACAAAGAGUAAAAAUCAAAGCAUGUAUUAGAGUGCUUCCAUUUUUUACCAAAAAACCUCAGUCAUCUGCACUUUUUAAAUUUAAUCCUCAAAAUAAUACCUAUUUUUUAUGCAUAAGAAAACUGAAGAUGAAUUGCCUUGCUCAUGAUCCAGGACUGUGAAGAUGGAAAGAGAAUUGUUUGUUCUUCCACUUUCUAGACCAGCACUCUCCCUAUUCAGGUUCUUCUUAAUGCAAACUGAAGACUCCUCUCACUGGCCUCCACCACUAAAAUGGGAACUCUGUGUGAUUUUCUCUCUUGGAAUUGGAAGGCAGACACUUAAUUACCCCUUUCAAUUGCUUGACAUUAUAGGAUUAUAGAUUUACUGGCACAUGCUUAUAAGGAAAAUUGUAUUCUAAACCCUGGAAUAAUCAUCCCCAUCUUUUUUCAUAUGCAAGAUGAAUGGAAGGAAUCUGGUUCCAUUCAUUACAAACAGUAUUUCCUAGGAUGGCUUGCAAGCUUUGAAAGUAAUUCUUAUGGACAUAGGGUGAUUAUUAUAGCAUACUUCUCCAUGUAGCAAGUUAGGUUUUAAUAGCUGUCACCCCAAAUCAUUAGGAAGAACUAGGGACCUUAUCUAUUGGUGCUUGCUAAUAGUGCUGUCCCCUGAACUGAGGGGACACAUGUGAUAGAGCUGCACCUUGAAGCAGAGCCCUGGCUCCCACAGUGCCCAUGCAGCAUAAACAGUGUAUCAACCUCUGAGCAAGAAAUGAACCACUAUGCUGUAAGCAUCUAACAUUUGGGGAUUCUUGUUAUAGCAAAGCCAUAAACAAACAAAGCCCCUGCUGGGCUCAGCUGCCCCAGCACUGGCCUCUUGUCCCCAGUGCAGUUGGAACCUACCACUUCCAGUUAACCCUGGGCCCAGAGUCUGAGUGGAGCAGUAUGACUACCUGCCCACUUUUAAACCAUGAAGUGACAGGAAGAGAAAUGUCUUUCCCUCUUCACUCCCCACCCAUCUCGGUGUCACCUGCAGUGAGGAGAGGUGUGCAGGUGCUGGGCAGCCAGCACAUCAGGGCUUCCUCUGGGAAAUGACUUUGUGAUGCACCAAGCAUCACACAGUUGGCUUUCUCAUCUGCCUCUAGGCUGUGAGUUUUGAGAGCAGGUUGAAUCUUUCACCUUGACAUACACAAACCCUUUUCCUUCAUGAAUCAUAUCUUCAUCCUCCACUUCAUCAUCCAUGACAGAUAUAUUCUUGAUGGAUGAAUGAAUGAAUGAAUGAAUGAGAAACAUUUCCCCUGCUUUGAGAAUGUACUUUCCUAGGGUGAGUCUUAUGAUGGGCCUGGUAUUAAGUUACUAGGGCUGUAGUAACAAAGUACCACAAACUGGUGGCUUAAGCAACAGAAGUUUAUUAUCUCACAGUUACAGAGGUGAGAAGUCCAAGAACAAGGUGUCUUUGGGCUGGUUCCUUCUGAAAGAUGUGAAGAAAAUAUGUUGCAUGAUUCUCUCCCAGCUUCUGGUGAUUUGCUAGCAAUCUUUGGCAUUCCUUGGCUGUUAGAAGCACCACUCUGAUCUCCGCCUUCAACAUGCCAUGGUCUGCUCCCUGCAUAUGUCUGUGUCCAAAUUUUCCCCUUCUUCUAAGGACAUCAUUCAUAUUGGAAUGCCCCCCCACAACCUCAUUUGAACUUGAUCCUUUUGUAAAGACCCCAUCUCUAACGGUCACCCUCUGAUAUGUGUUGGGUUAAGACCCAGCAUAUCUUUUCUUGGAGGGGGCACAAUUCAACCUCUCCUAGGCAGUGUGUUUUCUUAUUUUAAUUUUGUUUUCUGUAGUUUUAUGAGUUUUGGCCAUUGGUACUCAAUAUGGCAUUGGUAAUCCAAAAACUUUGGUACAAAGGAAGAAGAUUGAUAAAAGGAUCAGAAAUACUACUUUCACCCCCCCACCCCAACUCAUGGGAUAAACAAAGGGGACCCCAGCCUGGAAAUGGGGUGGGGUCUUACCUUGGUGCAUGACUGCUUCCUGCUGACAUGACUGUUCCUUUGGCCUCAGGCUCCAGAUAGUUCGAGUCAGCCUGUGAUAUUGAUCCUUGUCCAAGUGACCUCGUGAGCUGUCCCUGCCUCAGGCCCAGUGGGCACAUCUACAAGAACCAUCCCUCUUUUUUUUUUUUCCUCUGAGAGAUGGUUCUGGAAGCAAUGUGGGUCCCUGGUCAUUUUCAUGUAGAUAAUAAACUCCGUCUCUGGCACCUGCUAAGUUUUGCUCUCUCGUUAGAGUAGAACAGAUCACUGAUCUUAUAGAACAAGUGUUCUUCCCUCGUAAAUGGCAGACAUAAGUUCAGCGGUACCAGAUCAAUAUCAAUUUCAUAUUUAGGCCUGGGGAUCACUCACUGGCAAGACACCAGGCACGCCAUUCUGUCUGCUGCUGGAAUAGCCUGCGAACAUUUCCCAUUGGAGGCCAGGGGCCUAAUGUUUCCUUAGACAGCGUCUUUAAGGCACUGGACUGAUGUCUCUGUCAAUAGGGGAAAAUACUAACACUGCACCCAUGGCAAGGAAUUCUUUCUACAUAGACUUCUAUUAGCCGUAGAUCACAGACUUUUGUCUGAUAUCAUGCCCCAUGGAGAGAGAAGUCAAGAUAAGCGAGGCAGCAAACUGAUGAGGGGUAGGUUACUGGAGCGUGUGUCCCGCCUAAUGUUGUGUGUCAGCGAGACUAUCCCGAGACAGCUCUGAGGAAGAGGCUCUGGGUGCAGCAAAUGAACUUAGGGUUGAAGGAAGAGGAAUACACAUCAGUAAGGGACACACUUUUACCAGCUGACGUCUCUACAAUUCUGCUAUAUAAAUGACAUUGGAUUUUCUGACAGGGUUCUGAGAUAACAGGUAACUAUACCCAAAAUGAAAUGAGUUGGCUUUUUUUAGGCAUGUGGAUAGAAAAUUGCUUUUUCUCUAAAACGGGCAUUGGCAAGCUCUGCUCCUGGUUAUGAAUUAGUUCCCGGACAGCAGUGGGAGUUUUGAGGGAGGCCAGGGAAGGUCACGUUAGGAUGGAGGAUGUGUUGGGAAAUGGCAGGCACCAGGUGGUUCUUGGUGCUGGAAGGGGCCUGGAGAGCCUGGAAUCUUGGCUUUACUCCGCUGGGUCAGGGUGAAUUCAAAAUAGCCUCAUCGAGUUGGACCUUAUGAAAAUGCCUUUUGUAUGUCAAACAAUUGAUUAUCAGCAAUUUUACAUGCUUUAUCACCACAUGCCCCAUGCUGCAUUUAGGAAUUGUAGUUAAUGUACAGAUGUUCUAAAGUCAUUUAGUAAAUGGGCGAGGGGAGAAGUGUGGUUAGAGGGUAUGGAUGGAGGGCAUGUGUGUUAGGCAGGGUUCCCCAGAGAAGUAAAACCGCUACUAUCUAUCUAUCUAUCUAUCUAUCUAUCUAUCUUCAUCUAUAGAUGCUGUGGCCAGAGCAGAGAGAGAAGCCUGCACUCUGGGCUGGAGUCAUCUGGGUCCCACGGUUGAGGGCAGCCCUUCCAUCUUUCAGAGCCUCAGUUUCUUCAGAUGGGUUAGAUACUCUACAAAUUUCUUCCCAAACCACACACUCCAAGAAAGUGGUGCCUGUGGGACUUUUGUAAUAAAACGUCUUCCAGAGACUUCAUCAUCACAGGGUCCGUUAAGGAGAUUCCCUCGUGAGCCUUUUGCAGAUUCCAUGCCCUCCUGCCUCUUUGGCUACCUUCCCCGCUCCACUGCACACUGACACGUGAUGGGCUGAGGGGUGCUAAGACAUUUGAAGGAGGCCUUUGUCUUUGAAAUUAAAGAUCAACCUGCUUGUGUCCUUCUCCAUUUUCCUGGGGAAACUGUGUGGCCUUUAACUUCUGGUUAAUAUUAUACUCUCUGGAACUUUCGGGACCCAUGCGCUUUUUUAAAAAGUUGUGCUUUUUUUCUCAUUUAAAAAUAUCUAGGAGAUUCAUGCUGGAGUAUGUAGCACACAACUGUAGUUCUGUCUACUCUCGAAGCAUGGGAGAGAUGCUGGGGGAAAGCAUGAUGUGUUUCCAUGUCUGAGCUCAGUCUAGUCCACUGACGUGAAACAACUUACUUUGUGAUGGUGCUCAAGACUCUCCCAUUUAUAAAAUGUCAUUGCUGGAAUCUUUCCCAAGAGCUGGUGCUUGUCUUCUAAUCAAGUUUCAGGGAGAAUGUCCAUCUUCUAGAACUUUUGGUCUCUGUCAUCUGGGAGAGUUAAUGGUCUUUCAAAACCUAAUUUCAAGGGGAAGAUCUAAGGAAGAUUAAUGGUAAGAAAAAUGUGGAAGCGAUCAUAUUAAUCAGUUUGCAGUCACUCAAACUUCAAAAAAUUUUCCUUUAAAACAACUAAUUUGCACAGCCUUUCAGCCAGUAAUGAAUCUCCAUGAAUUAUCACUAGAAAUUUCAUGUCAGAAGUUCUGUAGUUGUAAUACAAGCUUUGAAUUUCCACCUCAAUCUAGUUGGCUUUAGUUCACGGAAACAGACUCAUUUUCUCUUUCACCCUACCCCCACCCACUUCUGAGAAAUUGUUAUAGAGGCUUUUCCUACAUGACCUGCCUCAGGGUAACUAUUAACACCGCUUUCCCAGAGGUUCCUCCCUAACCAUGUUUCAAGAACACUUCUUUUUCCACCAAAAGGUCGUCAAAGUCACCUGCCUGCAGCUUGUGCAGCUGUAACCAGUUAUCCCAGAUUAACCUGUGGUGGGAACAGGCCUCUUGCAGGAGCCAGGGGCUGCGAGGGAGGCAGGAAGGGACUGCUUGACCUUGAGCCAGUGGAAGGACAGGUCAUUGCGUGAAACACAUCCCAAGACAUGGGCAAGUCCAGAAAUGUCUCAACAAACGUACAAAACCCCUCCUCCAUCCUGUCCUGUAACUGGGUCCAAUAUGCAUCUCAGAACACAGCACAGAUGCAGUGCCUGUCGGAGGCUUCCUGGCCACGUGAGCAGUUUGCACCCAGUAGGUGGGAGACCUGCCUCUCCAGGGGGCCAUGUCAGCUGCCGGCCGAAUGACUGCACAGCUUGCAGAGGGCUUGCUUCUGGUUGGUGUGGGACAAGGAGCUCGUCCCCUCCACACAUGGGGGAUCCCCAGCCCCAUGGAGAAAUGGACACUGCACCUCACUUCCUAGCAGUCAGGGCUGGAGAGGUGCCUUUUUAUGGAAUGCACAGCCCCCAGCCUUGUCAAGGACCGACUGUUUGAUGAGUUGCGAGUCAAGGAUAGUAAGUCAGCUGCAACCUUGACUGUAUUUUUCUGCAUAAGAUCCAUGGAAUCAGCCAUUUGGUACCUGUUCUGUUAUAUACAUGUUGCUGUGUUUUUCCUUCAUUGGAUAAAUAAAGCCAAGCUCUCUGUCUUUAGUUUGUUUUCACUCCCCCACUCCUGCUCUUUGAAGACUAGUUGUAGCCAAACCACACUGCCUGGCACGUGGCGCUCCCAGCAGUGGGCCAGUGGGCCAGCCUCCACUGUGUCCUGGACAUUUGACAAUGUUUGGAUUAAAUGAGCUGUAGAGAAUGUGCCAGAGGGAGACCAUGGUUUGUAGAGGUCAGGGCGGCACUGGUUUUAGUUCGGUGACUAUGGGAUUCCUUAACAGACACUGGGGUUUUAUGGUGAGGAGGCUAUUUCAAAUGUUUGUUCAGCAAUUUCCUGAAGCAGAAGUUGGUUAAAUAAAAUAAACUUAAAUGUCA